rnacentral:rRNA from 1 species
UCGGGAAUUUUGGGCAAUGGGCGAAAGCCUGACCCAGCAACGCCGCGUGAAGGAUGAAGCUUUUCGGAGUGUAAACUUCAUAAGAAUGGGACGAAUAAGGAGGGGUUAACACCCCCUUUGAUGACGGUACCAUUUGUAAGCUCCGGCUAACUCCGUGCCAGCAGCCGCGGUAAUACGGGGGGAGCAAGCGUUGUUCGGAUUUACUGGGCGUAGAGGGCGCGUAGGCGGCGCAACAAGUCACUUGUGAAAUCUCCGGGCUUAACCCGGAGCGGCCAAGCGAUACUGUCGUGCUAGAGUGCGGAAGGGGCUACUGGAAUUCUCGGUGUAGCGGUGAAAUGCGUAGAUAUCGAGAGGAACACCUGCGGCGAAGGCGGGUAGCUGGGCCGACACUGACGCUGAAGCGCGAAAGCCAGGGGAGCGAA